rnacentral:rRNA from 1 species
GUGUCUCCUGGAAAACGGGUGGUAAUGCCGGAUGCUCCAGUUGAUCGCAUGGUCUUCUGGGAAAGCUUUCGCGGUAUGGGAUGGGGUCGCGUCCUAUCAGCUUGACGGCGGGGUAACGGCCCACCGUGGCUUCGACGGGUAGCCGGCCUGAGAGGGCGACCGGCCACAUUGGGACUGAGAUACGGCCCAGACUCCUACGGGAGGCAGCAGUGGGGAAUAUUGCACAAUGGGCGCAAGCCUGAUGCAGCGACGCCGCGUGAGGGAUGGAGGCCUUCGGGUUGUAAACCUCUUUUAUCGGGGAGCAAGCGAGAGUGAGUUUACCCGUUGAAUAAGCACCGGCUAACUACGUGCCAGCAGCCGCGGUAAUACGUAGGGUGCAAGCGUUAUCCGGAAUUAUUGGGCGUAAAGGGCUCGUAGGCGGUUCGUCGCGUCCGGUGUGAAAGUCCAUCGCUUAACGGUGGAUCCGCGCCGGGUACGGGCGGGCUUGAGUGCGGUAGGGGAGACUGGAAUUCCCGGUGUAACGGUGGAAUGUGUAGAUAUCGGGAAGAACACCACCC